UGUGCUUCUUGCCACUAACCGAUUUUAAUCCCUAAACUUAGAAAUUAAUGCAUGGCCACCGUAUACCUAGUUAUACAAUUGGCCCUUUAUGAAUACAUACUUAAAACACGUCGUUGUUCCUAAAUCAUGAUUGGUGUCGUAAUGCGUUACCACACGAGAUUUAGCCAUUUGACAUUGUACCUCCAUCGAUGCAAGCAAAGCGUUUGGUUUUCUAUUUUCUUGCAACUUUUCCUCAUUUCGAGUUAGAAUUGACCUAAAAUUAUUGUAC